CUAUAAUUGGCCAAAGUGUUAAAAUUUGAGUCACCUAUGAUACAAAUUUUCAUCAAGAGGACUAGGAAAUUAAAUAAAUGGUUGAUAUAUAACAAAUAUUGACAAAUUUAGCUGUAAUAAUUAAGCUUGACCAUCCUUAAGGGCGUGUUUGGUUCGCGCGCACUAUGAAAGAUUACUAGCAAUAAAAAGAUAUCCGAGAAUAUUAUUCAUAUUCAUUCUAUUACUAAGAAUGUAGCAUUCCUGUGUUUGGUUUGCACGGUCAUAUUAUUUAGUCAUGUUAUUUAAGUUUACAAAAAAUAUACAAUUUAUUUAUUUAUUUAUUUAUUUAAUUUUAGAUAAUGCUACAAAAAAUUUCAACAUUUUUUAGAAAAAAGGGGAAGAGAACAUAGGUUAGAGAGAGAGAGCAUAAUUAAAGAAAUAGAAAGAAAAAUGCAGUCGAUAUUAGAGGGAGCGAGAGAGUUGAGAUUUUAGAAACAGAGGAGAAGAGAGAGCUUAGUUUAAAGAGAGAAAAAAAGUUGAAGUUUAGAGAGAAAAAAAUAAGUAUAGAGAGAGAUAUGAGGUUAGAGUGUAAAAAAAAAUAUAGCUGACGAGUAUGGAGAAAAAAAGAGAUUAGACAUAUUAUGAUUAUCCUAAUCCAUUAAUAGGAGGCUACACACCCUCCAUCAAGGGAAUAAGAUUAGUGCUUUGGGAUGAAUCUCAUUCCUGAGUAAAUCUAAUAUUACCAACUAGAUUACUUAGUGCGUUUAGCCAAACACCGUCAUAUUUUUUAAUUCUUAUUGGAUUACUAGGAAUCUUAAAAAAUAGCGCGAACCAAACGCACCCUAAGUGUGUUGCGGAAAAACCAUAUGAUUAUUUCAUUGCAGUUAACAAUUAUAACCAUGAAUUAAGCAACACAUGAUAAUCUUGGUAUCAUAUUAUAUUUUUUAUUGAAAAUAGUAGAUAUAUAAAAGCCUUUUUUUAAUUCCUUUUGUGACGCCCUAUAUCCCACGGUGGUCAUCCAUCUUAGAACAACUCUUAGUUCUAGUUAACAGGCUUAACCAUCUUAAACUCUUAGAUCUAACCUUCAGUUAACAUGCUAUAACUGGGUUAAGAGAUCCAAGUUCUAGGAGUGUCACUUUUCUCUUCCCUUUAAGUCCUGACAUCUUUUUCAGAUUCAAUCACACUCACAAGCACACCAAACGAUACGAGAAUCAUCCAGAAAGCCACACUCUGCCUGUUGUAUGACGAUGAGAUUAUUUGGUUCGGGUAUAAGAAAGAGCUGUCUAUUCUAGAGAUAAGUAUAAGUUUAGGUAUUAGUAAGAACUAGAUUAAUUUCGUGUUUGAAUGAAAAUUGGUUAUUCUCAGGAGUAAAAAAAAUAGCGUUUUGAUAGAUAAAAUAAAAUAAGAAGGAUAGUGGGUAGUUACAAAUAAAAAAUAAUAAUAUCACCCCUCUCAUUAUAUUUGAAUUUAAAUUUUUAAACUUUAUAUUUAUAUUUUUAAAUUUAAAAUUUUAACUUUUAAAUUUUAAAUUUUGAAACUAACAUUUCAAAUUUAAAUCUCAAAUUUUAAAUUCAAAUUUUUAAAUUUUAAAUUUCAAACUUUAAAUUUAAGAUCAAAUUUAAAUUUGAAAAAUAUAAAAUAUCAAAUUUUCAAUUUUAAAAAUUUAAAAUAUCACAAUU
rnacentral:lncRNA from 1 species